GGUCAAGUGACUAAGCGUGCACGGUGGAUGCCUUGGCAUCUGGAGGCGAUGAAAGACGUGGUAGCCUGCGAUAAGCUUCGGGAAGGUGGCAAACAACCUGUGAUCCGAAGAUCUCUGAAUGGGGAAACCCACCUGUCAUAAGGCAGGUAUCUUAUGGUGAAUA
rnacentral:ncRNA from 1 species